GACGAACGCUGGCGGCGUGCUUAACACAUGCAAGUCGAACGGAAAGGCCCUGCUUGCAGGGUACUCGAGUGGCGAACGGGUGAGUAACACGUGGGUGAUCUGCCCUUCACUUCGGGAUAAGCCUGGGAAACUGGGUCUAAUACCGGAUAGGAGCCAUUUUUAGUGUGAUGGUUGGAAAGUUUUUUCGGUGUAGGAUGAGCUCGCGGCCUAUCAGCUUGUUGGUGGGGUAAUGGCCUACCAAGGCGGCGACGGGUAGCCGGCCUGAGAGGGUGGACGGCCACAUUGGGACUGAGAUACGGCCCAGACUCCUACGGGAGGCAGCAGAGGGGAAUAUUGCACAAUGGGCGCAAGCCUGAUGCAGCGACGCCGCGUGGGGGAUGACGGCCUUCGGGUUGUAACCUCCUUUCGCUAGGGACGAAGCUUUUUGUGACGGUACCUAGAGAAGAAGCACCGGCUAACUACGUG
rnacentral:rRNA from 1 species